rnacentral:rRNA from 1 species
UGUGUAGGCGGGGCUGUAAGUCAGAGGUGAAAUCCCACGGCUUAACCGUGGAACUGCCUUUGAUACUGCAGUUCUUGAGUCUCGGAGGGGUUGCUGGAAUUCGUGGUGUAGCGGUGAAAUGCGUAGAUAUCACGAGGAACACCAGAGGCGUAGGCGGGCAACUGGACGAGUACUGACGCUGAGGCACGAAAGCGUGGGGAGCAAACA